GAUGAACGCUGGCGGCGUGCCUAAUACAUGCAAGUCGAGCGAACAGAUAAGGAGCUUGCUCCUUUGACGUUAGCGGCGGACGGGUGAGUAACACGUGGGUAACCUACCUAUAAGACUGGGAUAACUUCGGGAAACCGGAGCUAAUACCGGAUAACAUUUGGAACCGCAUGGUUCUAAAGUGAAAGAUGGUUUUGCUAUCACUUAUAGAUGGACCCGCGCCGUAUUAGCUAGUUGGUAAGGUAACGGCUUACCAAGGCGACGAUACGUAGCCGACCUGAGAGGGUGAUCGGCCACACUGGAACUGAGACACGGUCAAGACUCCUACGGGAGGCAGCAGUAGGGAAUCUUCCGCAAUGGGCGAAAGCCUGACGGAGCAACGCCGCGUGAGUGAUGAAGGGUUUCGGCUCGUAAAACUCUGUUAUUAGGGAAGAACAAAUGUGUAAGUAACUGUGCACGUCUUGACGGUACCUAAUCAGAAAGCCACGGCUAACUACGUG
rnacentral:rRNA from 1 species